rnacentral:rRNA from 1 species
GACGAACGCUGGCGGCGUGCUUAACACAUGCAAGUCGAACGGAAAGGCCCUGCUUUUGUGGGGUGCUCGAGUGGCGAACGGGUGAGUAACACGUGAGUAACCUGCCCUUGACUUUGGGAUAACUUCAGGAAACUGGGGCUAAUACCGGAUAGGAGCUCCUGCUGCAUGGUGGGGGUUGGAAAGUUUCGGCGGUUGGGGAUGGACUCGCGGCUUAUCAGCUUGUUGGUGGGGUAGUGGCUUACCAAGGCUUUGACGGGUAGCCGGCCUGAGAGGGUGACCGGCCACAUGGGGACUGAGAGACGGCCCAGACGCCUACGGGAGGCAGCAGGGGGGAAUAUUGCACAAUGGGCGGGAGCCUGAUGCAGCAACGCCGCGUGCGGGAUGACGGCCUUCGGGUGGUAAACCGCUUUCUCCUGUGACGAAGCGGGAUUGACGGUAAUGGGUAAAGAAGCACCGGCUAACUACGUG